rnacentral:tRNA from 1 species
GCUGGUGUAGCUUAACCAAAGCAUGACGCUGAAGACGUUAAGAUGGGUCGUAAAGACUCCACCCGCACA